CACGUAGUUGGCCGGGGCUUCUUCUGCAGGUACCGUCAAUUUCGUCCCUGCUGAAAGCGGUUUACAACCCGAAGGCCUUCAUCCCGCACGCGGCAUCGCUGCGUCAGGCUUUCGCCCAUUGCGCAAGAUUCCCCACUGCUGCCUCCCGUAGGAGUCUGGGCCGUGUCUCAGUCCCAGUGUGGCUGGACAUCCUCUCAGACCAGCUACCCGUCGAAGCCUUGGUGGGCCGUUACCCCCACAACAAGCUGAUAGGCCGCGAGACCAUCCCGAAGCGGAAUCCAUUUCCUCACCGAAUCAUGCGGUCCGGUGAGGACAUCCGGUAUUAGCACCGGUUUCCCGGUGUUAUCCCGGUCUUCGGGGCAGGUUCCUCACGUGUUACUCACCCGUUCGCCACUUUCCACCCCGAGCAAGCUCGGAGCUUCACGUUCGACUUGCAUGUGUUAAGCGUGCCGCAGCGUUCGUCCUGAGCCAGGAUCAAACUCU
rnacentral:rRNA from 1 species